rnacentral:rRNA from 2 species
CGGGAUUUAGUAGACAGAAGCUUCGGUGGAAGAUUACUAAUGAGAGUGGCGAACGGGUGAGUAACGCGUGAGCAACCUGCCUAUGACAGUGGGAUAGCCUCGGGAAACCGGGAUUAAUACCGCAUAAAAUCGUAGAAACACAUGUUUUAACGGUCAAAGAUUUAUCGGUCAUAGAUGGGCUCGCGUCUGAUUAGCUAGUUGGUGAGAUAACAGCCCACCAAGGCGACGAUCAGUAGCCGGUCUGAGAGGAUGAACGGCCACAUUGGAACUGAGACACGGUCCAAACUCCUACGGGAGGCAGCAGUGGGGAAUAUUGCACAAUGGGGGAAACCCUGAUGCAGCGACGCCGCGUGAACGAAGAAGGUAUUCGUAUCGUAAAGUUCUGUCCUAUGGGAAGAUAAUGACAGUACCAUAGAAGAAAGCUCCGGCUAAAUACGUGCCAGCAGCCGCGGUAAUACGUAUGGAGCGAGCGUUGUCCGGAAUUAUUGGGCGUAAAGGGUACGCAGGCGGUUUAAUAAGUCGAAUGUUAAAGAUCGGGGCUCAACCCCGUAAAGCAUUGGAAACUGAUAAACUUGAGUAGUGGAGAGGAAAGUGGAAUUCCUAGUGUAGUGGUGAAAUACGUAGAUAUUAGGAGGAAUACCAGUAGCGAAGGCGACUUUCU